AUGACUACCUUGGAUAUGACCAAAAAUAUUGCAUAUAUGCAUAUUUGUCAGGUGAUUUCUAGUGCAAACUAUUCAAUAAUCUAUUUAUGUUAUCCAGAACAAAAAUACUUCACACACUUUUGUGUUUUGCCUAAUUGCAGGUGUAUGGGACAUUUGUACAAUCCACAUAUGAAGAUAAGGAAGAAAGAGAUGUUUAUUUGCUGUCCAGAAAGUUCUCUCACGUCACUUUUGGCCCAAGAGAAGAUAGAGUCCAAGUCUCUCACGUUCUGGAUUCAGAUUCGGACUGCACAGACACACCUGACUCAAAACGCACACAAGUUUUUCAUACGGACUCCGAAUUGGGUGAUUCGUUUUUUGUUGGAAACUAGAUUUCGUGCACUUUCCAACCCAAUUGGAAUCACCUUCAAAUUCGUCCGGAGCGUUGAGUUGUGGACGAAACAAACUGAUGCUGCAGCAGAAUCUGAGUCAAACUACAAGUCCAAAGGUGUUACAUCACCUCCACUUGGGCCCAUUGGCCUUGUACGACCUAGAUUUAGUUUUAGGCUGCCUUGGGACGUCCUCCCACCUCCUUGGCCGCCACCCCUUGCUCCUAUAUAA
rnacentral:rRNA from 1 species